CCUACGGGAGGCAGCAGUAGGGAAUGUUCGUCAAUGGGCGCAAGCCUGAACGAGCGAUGCCGCGUGAGUGAAGAAGGCCUUCGGGUCGUAAAGCUCUGUUGCGGGGGAAAAAAGGAAGCAUCAGGAAAUGGGUGCUGACUGAUGGUGCCCCGCCAGAAAGUCACGGCUAACUACGUGCCAGCAGCCGCGGUAAUACGUAGGUGGCGAGCGUUAUCCGGAAUGAUUGGGCGUAAAGGGGGGGAAGGCGGUCCUGCAAGUCUGGAGUGAAGCGCAUGAGCCCAACUCAUGCCUGGCUUUGGAAACUGGAGGACUGGAGUGCGGGAGAGGUCGGUGGAACUCCAUGUGUAGCGGUGAAAUGCGUAGAUAUAUGGAAGAACACCAGUGGCGAAGGCGGCCGCCUGGCCUGUUGCUGACGCUGAGGCACGAAAGCGUGGGGAGCAAAUAGGAUUAGAUACCCGUGUAGUC
rnacentral:rRNA from 1 species